rnacentral:lncRNA from 1 species
AUGAGAAUGAGUUUAAACAACGUCUUUGAGAAGCUUUCCAUAAGAGAGAAAUUUAAAAGAGCUGACAUAAAGUUUAGAACAGGGCAAAGGAUCAGACACUAUGGAGUUUUAUGCAACUGUCUUAACUGCCUCUUUUUAGUUUCAUUUAGUUUCAUGUUUGUGCUGAUUCUCUUCCAUUCUACAGAAGUACCACCAGUGGUCCUCCAGAAGAGCAAUGAUCACAUCUCCUACCUAAUACUUCCAAGACCAGCAUGGAGGUCACUUCUUCUCAUCGUAUAUUUUGGAGGACAAGUCUGGAAAUAUACCUGAAGAUUUCUACAUCUACCACUACGGGGAAAAAUAACAGUAAAACAACCAAAGACUGCCAAGUUAGAUGCCUCCCUCUUUGGUCACAAAUAGAGUGCCAAGUCUGAAACAGCCUGCAAGCCCUUGGAUUCAGGACAGGACUCUCUUCACUCAGCACUGAGGUCUGUGUAAUUCGCAGCCUUACCUUUGUACAAGUCUAUUCCCUCUUACUUCAUUUUCUGCAGUUAAAGACUGUGCCCACAAAAUGUAGAAUAGAUAUCGUGAAAUAGGAAGAAAAUGCUCAAACGGGAAGGAGAACUUGGGUGGGGGAGGAAGGAAGAAAGAGAAUAGAAAAAAAUGAGCAAAGAAGGAAAAAAUGAAAACAAAACACGUAAAUAAGGAGGGGAAGAGGCAUUGAUGGGAGAGGAGGGGAAUGGGAAAAAAAGAACCAAGUUACAUCGUGCCCAGGUACAGAUUCCCUGUGAUGAAUGUGAUCAUUGUGUAGACCUAAAAUGUACCUAUAAACUCAUUAAUUAAAAAAUAAAAGAACGAAAACUAUGUCCAGGACAUGAUAUACUCAUACAGAGCAUUUAGCACCCAACCUACUUAUUCCACACUUAAUUCCAAAUUUGC